rnacentral:rRNA from 1 species
GUCAAGUCAUCAUGCCCCUUAUGCCCAGGGCUGCAAACAUGCUACAAUGGCCGGUACAAAGGGCUGCGAAACCGCGAGGUUGAGCGAAUCCCGUAAAGCCGGUCUCAGUUCGGAUCGGAGUCUGCAACUCGCCCCCGUGAAGGCGGAGUUGCUAGUAACCGCGUAUCAGCCACGGCGCGGUGAAUACGUACCCGGGCCUU